rnacentral:tRNA from 1 species
GGAGUUAGCUCAGUGGUAGAGCAUUUGCCUAGCAAGCGCAAGGCCCUGGGUUCAGUCCCCAGCUCCG